UACGUAGGGGGCGAACGUUGUCCGGAAUCAUUGGGCGUAAAGAGCGUGUAGGCGGCUUGGCAAGUCUGACGUGAAAGCCCGCGGCUCAACCGCGGAUUGUCGUUGGAAACUGCCUCGCUAGAGUCCGGAAGAGGAGAGCGGAAUUCCUGGUGUAGCGGUGGAAUGCGCAGAUAUCAGGAAGAACACCCGUGGCGAAGGCGGCUCUCUGGGACGGUACUGACGCUGAGACGCGAAAGCGUGGGGAGCGAACAGG
rnacentral:rRNA from 1 species